GAUGAACGCUGGCGGCGUGCCUAAUACAUGCAAGUCGAGCGAACAGAUGAGAAGCUUGCUUCUCUGAUGUUAGCGGCGGACGGGUGAGUAACACGUGGGUAACCUACCUAUAAGACUGGGAUAACUCCGGGAAACCGGGGCUAAUACCGGAUAAUAUUUUGAACCGCAUGGUUCAAUAGUUAAAGACGGUUUCGGCUGUCACUUAUAGAUGGACCCGCGCCGAAUUAGCUAGUUGGUAAGGUAACGGCUUACCAAGGCGACGAUACGUAGCCGACCUGAGAGGGUGAUCGGCCACACUGGAACUGAGACACGGUCCAGACUCCUACGGGAGGCAGCAGUAGGGAAUCUUCCGCAAUGGGCGAAAGCCUGACGGAGCAACGCCGCGUGAGUGAUGAAGGUCUUCGGAUCGUAAAACUCUGUUGUUAGGGAAGAACAAAUUUGUUAGUAACUGAACAAGUCUUGACGGUACCUAACCAGAAAGCCACGGCUAACUACGUGCCAGCCGCCGCGGUAA
rnacentral:rRNA from 1 species